CAUAGGUUUGGUCCUGGCCUUACUGUCAGCCCUAGUUAAGAUUACACAUGCAAGUAUCUGCACCCCUGUGAGGAUGCCCACGAUCACCCCCAAGGUGACAUGGAGUAGGUAUCAGGCACAACCCAAAUAUUUCGCCCAAGACACCUUGUUCAGCCACACCCCCAAGGGUACUCAGCAGUGAUAGACCUUAAGCCAUGAGCGAAAGCUUUACUCAGUUAAGACUAAGAGGGCCGGUAAAGCCCGUGCCAGCCACCGCGGUUACACGGGCGGCCCAAGUUGACACACAACGGCGUAAAGAGUGGUUAGGGAAACACAUCAACUAAAGCCGAAGACCCCCAAGACUGUGGUACGCCAUCUCGGGGGAGUGAAGAUCAACUACGAAGGUGGCUUUACAACGCCUGACCCCACGAAAGCUAAGACCCAAACUGGGAUUAGAUACCCCACUAUGCUUAGCCCUAAACAUCGAAUGAACUUAACUAAUUCAUUCCGCCUGGGAAUUACGAACACUAGUUUAAAAACCAAAGGACUUGGCGGUGCUUAAGACCCCCCUAGAGGAGCCUGUCCUAUAACCGAUGACCCCCGUUCAACCUCACCCUCUCUCGCUCUAUCCACCUAUAUACCGCCGCCGUCAGCUUACCCUGAGAAGGAAUAAUAGUAUGCAGAAUUGGCACAGCCCUAAACGUCAGGUCGAGGUGUAGUGCAUGGGAGGGGAAGAGAUGGGCUACAUUUGCUCCCCAAGAGCAAAUUUACGGACGCCUUAUUGAAACAUAAGACUGAAGGAGGAUUUAGUAGUAAGUGAGAAACAGAGUGCCCCACUGAAACCGGCCCUGAAGCGCGCACACACCGCCCGUCACCCUCCCCGAGCACCAAAAUAUUAUUAAAUAAACUGCUUUACCUGCAAAAGGAGAGGAAAGUCGUAACAUGGUAAGUGUACCGGAAGGUGCACUUGGAGAAUA
rnacentral:ncRNA from 1 species